rnacentral:rRNA from 1 species
UACGAAGGGGGCUAGCGUUGCUCGGAAUUACUGGGCGUAAAGGGCGCGUAGGCGGCACUGUUAGUCAGGCGUGAAAGUCCUGGGCUCAACCUGGGAACUGCGCUUGAUACGGCAGAGCUAGAGGAUGGAAGAGGGUCGCGGAAUUCCCAGUGUAGAGGUGAGAUUCGUAGAUAUUGGGAAGAACACCAGUGGCGAAGGCGGCGACCUGGUCCAUUACUGACGCUGAGGCGCGACAGCGUGGGGAGCAAACAGG